ACACCGUUGUUGAAGUAGUUAUCAUGCUUGCCUUCCAUUGGUCUUCGAGGCAUACAAACAGCAAGCGGCUCGGGUUCGAUCCCCAAACGGUGUA